rnacentral:rRNA from 1 species
AUUGAACGCUGGCGGCAGGCCUAACACAUGCAAGUCGAGCGGAUGAAGGGAGCUUGCUCCUGGAUUCAGCGGCGGACGGGUGAGUAAUGCCUAGGAAUCUGCCUGGUAGUGGGGGAUAACGUCCGGAAACGGGCGCUAAUACCGCAUACGUCCUGAGGGAGAAAGUGGGGGAUCUUCGGACCUCACGCUAUCAGAUGAGCCUAGGUCGGAUUAGCUAGUUGGUGGGGUAAAGGCCUACCAAGGCGACGAUCCGUAACCGGUCUGAGAGGAUGAUCAGUCACACUGGAACUGAGACACGGUCCAGACUCCUACGGGAGGCAGCAGUGGGGAAUAUUGGACAAUGGGCGAAAGCCUGAUCCAGCCAUACCGCGUGUGUGAAGAAGGUCUUCGGAUUGUAAAGCACUUUAAGUUGGGAGGAAGGGCAGUAAGUUAAUACCUUGCUGUUUUGACGUUACCAACAGAAUAAGCACCGGCUAACUUCGUG